rnacentral:rRNA from 1 species
AUAACGACUCUCGGCAACGGAUAUCUCGGCUCUCGCAUCGAUGAAGAACGUAGCGAAAUGCGAUACUUGGUGUGAAUUGCAGAAUCCCGUGAACCAUCGAGUCUUUGAACGCAAGUUGUGCCCCAAGCCUUUAGGCCGAGGGCACGUCUGCCUGGGUGUCACG